GCGUGCGCGCUCUCUCUCUCUCUCUCUCUCUCUCUCGCCUUGGAGACGGGGCCUCCUCCACAGCAGAGCCCAGAGCAGCCCUAAGUCGAGGCCAUUUCGCAGAACCGAAGCAACCCGGAGGAAGUCAGGAAAAAAGUACAAUUGCGCCAAGUGGACUGAUCAGCCACCUAUUUUACCAGCUCACUCUCAUUUGUGGACAAUCCUCUAUCAGCCCAGAAUUUGACAUUUGACAGGACGUUCUAAGACAAGGCAUAUUGCAGUAAUGUGAUGCAAUGAGGUUUCAGAAUUCUACAGGGAAUGGUGUGGUCGUGCUGAAGUACUUUUUGCCGACUUCAAGGAUCCUGCACAUACAGUUCCUCCCAGGUAAGGAGACCAAAACUGUAAAACUGAGGCUGGACAUCAGCUCAUCCACAGUUGAAGGAGAAGAUCCACCUCCUGGAAAGUCCUGAAGUUAGAGGAUCCACAUUGUAGAUGCUUACCCACUGCUGCGCAUGGUGUUCUGGGGUCUGGUUCCUGGAGGCUUCUACCUUUCCUUCCAAUCUCCGCUGCCUCAGGCCGCCUUGCAGGAAGGCAGUACAUCACAAGGAUGGAUGUGAUAGCUGACUAAUGGCUAGAACAUUGGAGCAAGGCACGUGACGAAACCUCCAGGAGUACGUACAAUCACAGUUGGCGACCCUUGUCCUUGAUUCUGGAAAAGGCCCACCACUGGCCAAUUAAAUAUCUUGGAGUCACUUAAUUCUCUAAUGCAUGGCCCUUUUCAGUUCUCCAGCAGGCGAGACCUCCAUUACCUGUAUUAAAUUUCACCCAAAGUUUCCAGCAAAAAAGUUCCCUGUUUGAUACCUGCCAUUAAAAAUUUGGGGUCCAAGAAGAGACUACAGAAACUUAGUGUUUACACUGGCAAAAGAGCAGAAUGAGAUGGCAUCUUUCUGAGGUAUUCAAGAUCCUUAAUGUUGUCAAAAAAUUGGAACCUAAGAAACAGUUUACCAUGGUCCCAAGAAUGAAAGGGUAUGGCGUGAUAUUCAGAAGAGAAGUGAAUAACAAAUCAGAUAAAUCUAUUUCACGCAGGAAAGGGAAGUGGCCUGCACAGGGAGGAAAAGGCAGCUGACACCAUCAGUAAUUUUAAGAGGAUGUCCAGCAAGCAUGUAACGAGAAAGUUAAUUGAGAAAUAAAGGUAAUGAACUGUACAUUCUGCUUUUUGGUCUUGUACAUUCCUAUGUUCUCAAACAAGAGAAUGUAUACGCAUCCCUGCCUGUACAUUGUAGUAGGGAGGUACCAGUAAGUGGGGACUGAUUCCUCAGGUAUUGCCUGAUCUUCCCAGAAUUCCCCAGAGCUCUUCUUCUUUGUUGUAUGUUAGUUGUGACUAGCUGAGGAACAAUUAUGGAGACAUAGAUAUAUCUGAACAGUAACUGUUUAUUGGAUGAACAUAACUAUUUACAGAUGUACAAGACUACAUGUAUCGGGGGCUAAGAUCUCACACUAUAUAUUUUUAUAAAAUAGAUGUGGAUAUCCUCAUAGCUAAUUUCUAAAAUUAAAAACUGAACAAAACGGGCUAUAUGGUAGUAUCGAAGAAAUUCGCACCUCCUUAUCUCUGGAAGAGACCCUAACGAGCCAUGCGGGCUGCAGAAACAAAUUCAAAGGGAACUAUACAAACCCAAGUGGAGAGGUGGGAGUCAUGUGACAUGACCCCUUCACCCCCCCACCCCCUAGCUGGUGGAACCUGUAAUAUUGCCUUAUGUAUCUGUAAAGCUCAGUCUGCUAUCUUUCUAUCUAACUAGCAGCAGCACAGAAAAGGGGGUCUGUACAGGUUUGAAUGCGUGGCCCCCAUUACACUGUUUCUACUUCCGAACUUCUGCACCAUCACCUACAAGACCAUCUCUUCUUGUCAUUGUUGAAGUCAACUCUACUAAAAAAAAAAGUGAAUUAUCCAGUAUCAGAUCAUCCUGCUGACCUUUGUGAAGGAAUACACCAUUGGACUUUGAUUCUGGACUCUGAACUCACUGAAAUAAUCAUCCUUUUCUCUGUGGUUUCUGCCCUCUAAAGCUUUCUUUCUCUAUCCCUGUUUUGCUGUGUGAGUGAAAAUGAGGCAACGUUGCUUCCCUCGUCCCGUGUUGGAGCGUAUGCAAAUAAACUAACCCUUUGAGUUCACCCUAA